rnacentral:lncRNA from 1 species
ACAAAACCCCACAGCUCCUAGGAAUUCUCUCACCACCCUUGUGCCUUUAGGCUUCGGUAGAUUGCAAAUGACCUGCUUUCUUUCGGAUCCCGGGCUGCUUUCGGACACCUGUCGAAUAGUAAAUCCCAAGUAAGGUACCUGCGGUCGUCGGCAGAUCUGAAUUUUCUUCUUGGACACCUAAUACCCACAGUCCUCCAGAGACCGAGAGGUUGAUGUCACUCCCAAUAUCGGAGGAAGUAUACACCCCCGUGUGAGA